AGAAUAAAGCUGUCUCACGUGGGCCGCUACAAUCUAAUAUUUAGGUGCAGAAGCCUAAAUCUACAUAAAGGACAAGAAGACCCUAUAGAGCUUUACUGACAAAAGUUAUUACACUUUAGCCUCAGUUUGGUUGGGACAACCAAAAGACACUACUACCUCUUAAUUAACACAACUAAUACCCCCACCCAUUAAUGAAUUAGAAUUAAAGCUACCUUAGGGAUAACAGGCUAAUCCUACUAAAGAGAUCACAUUGACAGUAGGGGUUGGCACCUCGAUGUUGGCUUAGUGUAACCCUCAGGCGCAGCCGCUUGAGAGAGUUGGUUUGUUCAACCAUUAAAUCACU
rnacentral:rRNA from 1 species